rnacentral:rRNA from 1 species
CCUACGGGUGACAGCAGUGAGGAAUAUUGGUCAAUGGACGAGAGUCUGAACCAGCCAAGUAGCGUGAAGGAUGACUGCCCUAUGGGUUGUAAACUUCUUUUAUAAAGGAAUAAAACGAGGCACGUGUGCCUUUUGCAUGUACUUUAUGAAUAAGGAUCGGCUAACUCCGUGCCAGCAGCCGCGGUAAUACGGAGGAUCCGAGCGUUAUCCGGAUUUAUUGGGUUUAAAGGGAGCGUAGAUGGGUUGUUAAGUCAGUUGUGAAAGUUUGCGGCUCAACCGUAAAAUUGCAAUUGAUACUGGCAGUCUUGAGUACAGUUGAGGUAAGCGGAAUUCGUGGUGUAGCGGUGAAAUGCUUAGAUAUCACGAAGAACCCCGAUUGCGAAGGCAGCUUACUAAACUGUGACUGACAUUGAUGCUCGAAAGCGUGGGGAGCAAACAGGAUUAGAUACCCCAGUAGUC